CCUACGUGAGGCAGCAGUAGGGAAUAUUGGACAAUGGGUGCGAGCCUGAUCCAGCCAUGCCGCGUGCAGGAAGAAGGCCUUCUGGGUUGUAAACUGCUUUUGCCGGGGGAUAAAAGACCCAUGCGUGGGGAAUUGAAGGUACCCGGUGAAUAAGCCACGGCUAACUACGUGCCAGCAGCCGCGGUAAUACGUAGGUGGCGAGCGUUGUCCGGAUUUAUUGGGUUUAAAGGGUGCGUAGGCGGCCCCGUAAGUCAGUGGUGAAAUACGGCAGCUCAACUGUCGAGGUGCCAUUGAUACUGCGGGGCUUGAGUACAGUCGAGGUAGGCGGAAUUGACGGUGUAGCGGUGAAAUGCUUAGAUAUCGUCAAGAACACCGAUAGCGAAGGCAGCUUGCUAGGCUGUAACUGACGCUGAGGCACGAAAGUGCGGGGAUCAAACAGGAUUAGAUACCCUGGUAGUCCGCACAGUAAACGAUGGUCACUCGGUGUUGGCGGUACACGGCCAGCGCCUUAGCGAAAGCGUUAAGUGACCCACCUGGGGAGUCGCCCGCAAGGGUGAAACUCAAAUGAAUUGACGGCNGAGACGNGCGACGGACGACGACGAGGGAGGAGG
rnacentral:rRNA from 1 species